rnacentral:ncRNA from 12 species
UAGUAGCACAGGUAUAUGAUACACUGUUCAAACAUCUAUCCAGACAAUCAUAGCGAUUAAGCAUAAAGUAAGUACGUUGUCAAUAGUUGGGAAGCCUUAAUGUGUUAAGGCUUUUUCUUUUUCAA